AAGGAAGUAGACAUGCAGGCCUUGGCCCUG
rnacentral:piRNA from 1 species